rnacentral:antisense_RNA from 1 species
GACACAAAAUUUAAUUUAAUAGAAAUUUUGUUUGUAGUUCUUACAUUCUCAUUGUGAGCCAAUCUGGGACCCACUGCCCCACCCAGAAGUGGCCCAGUCCUGGGGGGGCAGGGGAGAAAGGGAGGGGUGAAAUGAGAAGAGCCCCGUUCUUCCUCAGUGCUGGGGGGUUGGAGGGGAGCUAAGAGAUGAGAGAAGGGGACAGAGGCAAGAAAAGAUGUUGAUCAAGAAAGAUGAGAACCAGGGGUGAGGGCUGAAGGAGAAUCAAAGAUAAA